UACGGAAGGCAGCAGGGGGGAAUAUUGCACAAUGGGCGCAAGCCUGAUGCAGCCAUGCCGCGUGUAUGAAAAAGGCCUUCGGGUUGUAAAGUACUUUCAGUCGUGAGGAAGGUGUUAAGGUUAAUAACCUUAGCAAUUGACGUUAGCGACAGAAGAAGCACCGGCUAACUCCGUGCCAGCAGCCGCGGUAAUACGGAGGGUGCGAGCGUUAAUCGGAAUUACUGGGCGUAAAGGGCACGCAGGCGGUUAAUUAAGUUGGAUGUGAAAUCCCCGGGCUUAACCUGGGAAUGGCAUUCAAGACUGGUUAGCUAGAGUCUUGUAGAGGGGGUUAGAAUUCCAUGUGUAGCGGUGAAAUGCGUAGAGAUGUGGAGGAAUACCGGUGGCGAAGGCGGCCCCUGGACAAAGACUGACGCUCAUGUGCGAAAGCGUGGGGAGCAAACGAGGGAUUAGAUA
rnacentral:rRNA from 1 species